rnacentral:rRNA from 1 species
CGGACGGGUGAGUAAUACCUAGGAAUCUGCCUGAUAGUGGGGGAUAACGUUCGGAAACGGACGCUAAUACCGCAUACGUCCUACGGGAGAAAGCAGGGGACCUUCGGGCCUUGCGCUAUCAGAUGAGCCUAGGUCGGAUUAGCUAGUUGGUGAGGUAAUGGCUCACCAAGGCUACGAUCCGUAACUGGUCUGAGAGGAUGAUCAGUCACACUGGAACUGAGACACGGUCCAG